rnacentral:rRNA from 1 species
ACUGCCAGACUUGGAACCGGGAGAGGUAAGAGGUACUACAGGGGUAGGAGUGAAAUCUUGUAAUCCCUGUGGGACCACCUGUGGCGAAGGCGUCUUACCAGAACGGGUUCGACGGUGAGGACGAAAGCUGGGGGCACGAACCGGAUUAGAUACCCGGGUAGUCCCAGCCGUAAACGAUGCUCGCUAGGGUGUCCAGGCAUGGCGCGACCGUGUCUGGUGCCGCAGGGAAGCCGUGAAGCGAGCCACCUGGGAAGUACGGCCGCAAGGCUGAAACUUAAAGGAAUUGGCGGGGGAGCACAACAACGGGUGGAGCCCUGCGGUUUAAUUGGACUCAACGCCGGACAACUCACCGGGGGCGACAGCAAUAUGUAGGCCAAGCUGAAGACUUUGCCUGAAUCGCUGAGUAGAGGUGCAUGG